rnacentral:rRNA from 1 species
CUUGACCUCAAAUCAGUAGGACUACCCGCUGAACUUAAGCAUAUCAAUAAGCGGAGGAAAAGAAACUAACAAGGAUUCCCCUAGUAACUGCGAGUGAAGCGGGAAAAGCUCAAAUUUAAAAUCUGGCGGUCCUUGUGGCCGUCCGAGUUGUAAUUUAGAGAA